AAAAGUCAAAAGUAUCUCAACGACAGUGAAUCAGUGAUGUUAGAGCUUGUGCCCAACGAAGAUGUUCAUCUGUCCUCUUUGCUAGCCUGUGAACGCUUUUCUUAUUCUUUGAUGGAAUAGAAGCAGUUACGAAAGAUGUACAAAUCGCACGGGGGUGAAUUGGUGGUUUGAACUGUACUGCCUCCUCCCCUCGAAUUCCAAUUUUAGUAGAGAAGAAGCGCUAACUUUCCAGUUCUUUCUUUUCAAGUCUAUCCUAUUGAGGGACUAAUCCGUACUUUUUACCACUUUCCAUAACCAAUUGAAUCUAUCAGUUCAUAAUCAUUUUACAAUCGCUGUUUGUAUUAUUUCAUUUCCGUACUGUAUAGUCGUAUAUUUGACCAAAAAUGAGUCAAGGUUACUUACGUGAUGACGUGCAGAUUCCAUUGUCUUCAAUACGCUGGCCGAAUACUCGGAACUAACAACAGGAGGAGUGUAACAAUUCGUUAUGAAAUUAUGAUUUUAAUUAAUACGAUUUCAUCUUAGCUUCAUGACAAUGCAUGGCAGUUGCCUCAUUGAUUAUUCUAGUCUUUGAACGUUUGUCAAAAAAUAUGCGUUGAUCUAUUUCUAGAAUUACCUACUCUGAAUUGUCUCAAGGUCAUUGAAUAAUUAAUACAAUCGGUUCAUUUAACAUCCAUUCAAUAUAUUCAGAUUGUGACCGCGCAACUUAAAUUUCAGCUUGAACACUUUUGCUAAAAAAUGAGGAGUGAUUUCCAUUCGUCGUUGCCCUCUGAAUGAAUAAAUUGCAUUAAAUUUCCUUUAAACGUGAGCUUGUUGAAUUAUUUUGGCCCUCGCCCUCCUUAAUUUGACUUUGACAAAUCUCAGUUCAAAUGAUGGCCAUGUGGUUAUGGCUGAAAUCUUCUCUCUUGUGUCUGCAUUUCUCGAUUAUUUUGGGCGUUUAAUGUUUUGAAUUUGUCUUCAGUGGUAGAAAAAGCCACGAGUAACUGUCACCGUUUCAAAAAGACUUCUCUGGUCUUGUCAUAAUUACCCUAAUUAACAAUGCGCACCCCAUUACUCUCCUAAUGUCUUGUUUUCAGCCAAUAUGGAAAUUUUUAAACCAUAAUAGAAAAUAUUUUCCUGUGAAUUAUCCUUUGAUAUGUGAUGUUUGAUAGACUUGUUGCUAUCACUGCUCUUUAGCGUGUGGUCCUUCAUUUAGCAAUAUGCAAAGAAAAGGCGGUCUUUCGCCAACAAGUCGAGCAGCUUAAUGCUUACUUUUGAAAAUUCUUUUUAUUGGUGAAGAAACCAAACAUUUCCAAUGAUUAUUGCAAUGAUACACAACGGAAUAGUCGAUAGGGAAGGAUAAAGACAACUAGAUCUUAGCUCUUGUAAUUGUGAAUGCAACUCAUCUGGUUCCAAAGAUUUCGUUCACGUUGUGGAUAGCAAGAUUUUUAUUCCCCCGACUCAAAUCAAGUG